GCCUUGCCCAAUGCGCCGUUCGCACGCCGGGUAGGAAAAUUGGGGGCCGUCGUGGCCACUCCUUGCUCCUUGCGGCACCCAACCAUCCUAUGGAAUCCGACGCAAGGCUGAAAUUGGGCGCACAGUUACCGGGCUGCGGCGAAUUGCUCGUCGUGGCCGGAGCGCCGCCGUGGAACCGCAUACAGCCGUGGGCCAGACUUUCUGCGUCGCCAUCAUCGGUGAGGACCUCUUCUCCGAUCUCGCCCUUAUCUCUGCUUCGUGUAGCAUCCGUCGAUUGGGAUUUGUCAAAUCGAGUCGUUGCACCGCCCCCUUCGACGAGAGCGCGGCCGCGUGUGUUCUGCGCCGUCGCGCGUCUCUAGCCGAGGAGGAAGACGAGUGGUGAUGAGCUGAGCCGUGAGAUAUGGAUGGGCGGCUCAGAUUAAUAGCCUCGUACCGGUUUGGCUCGGUUAGAUCGUGACCGCAGAUCUGUGAGUGAGCGGGCAAGGUUGGUCUGGAACCGUAUAAAAUCUCGAGCGUUGGAUCUUAUGUGGGUGGCCGGAUCGUGCGGCUGAGUGAGGGCGUGCGGAUCGUGGGCCGUAGAGCGUAGAUUCUGGAUCCAACGAAUGUGAGAGGAUGCGGGUUUAUAAUCGGUAUUGAUCUAAUCUGGGCCGUAGCCUCUAAAUCCAGCGGCUCUGGUUGCUUCUUACCUCUUCGGCUGACAACUUUGCUAAAAAGUCAUCGUGCUUUUACGAAUUAGAACCCGCCGUCCUCGGUAGUAGGCAAAACUUGCAAUAGGGUCCCUGGACUUUUUAAAUAUAUCCCUGGAAACCUUUACAGAGUUAAAAUAAUAAUUAGGAAACCUGGAAACUUGUUUAUGGCAUAACUUACUCGUUUUAAAUCCGUUUUACUCCAUUCCAGUUGCGUUAGCUUCAUAAAAAUAUUCUCUACAUACUAAAAACAUUAAUCAUACCAUAUCUCAUACUUUUAUAGUUAGAUAUUCAUUUAACCUAUGUUUAGUAGAUUAAACUCUCUAAAUCAAAGUUAAUAUGUUUAUAAUUAUAGUUUGGCUAAAAUAUGAUCCCUAAUUAUAUUAUGAUUUAACUUAAAGUUGAAUUAAUUAUUCAUUUAGGUUAUUUUCUCAAAUGAUCUAUUAAAUCAACAUAAGGUCUAGUUUUAAGUGCUUAAAUUGUGUGGAUCUUUGGAAAACCAUAACUUCAUAACCGUAACCCCAAAUUUAGCGGUUCUCGAUCCCACGAUCUCGUAGCGACACGCAGAGUAUUAUUACAUAGUUUGUUCUUAUGUUUGGUGUGAUGUUUAUUUUGCCUAUACCAUGUUUGUUUGUAUUGCUACGAUUAGCAGUGAGGUCAUGAGUCAUCUGAAGAUCAUUCUGGUACCCGGAAUCUCAAGUCCCAAGCAAGUUGUGCCCUUGAUCACUUCUUUUUACCCAGUCAUGUUCUGAUUAAUCAUAAUGAUCUACAUAGGUUAAUUUUGAUGGGACCCAACAGGUUACCCUAGUUUGAUUAUCUUUAUACCUUGACUCCACUAAACUUUUUGGGUAGUACCUGCUAUUGCUUUAUGUGGUUUUGGGUAUGAAGAUUACACUAUUCAUGAUUAUACUUUUGUUAUCAGUUGUUAUUUAUUGUUCAUGUUAAGAUCAUUAUGUUAAUUGGAACAUGGAGAACCACCCGGGAAAACAGUGCUACCACAAGGGUUUAUGGACGCCCUUGGCUGACUAAUUAGGAAAGCUAGUGGAGGACUACCUUACCCGAAAGGGGCAAGGGCAGUAGGGGAGUGGUCAGUGUAGGGAGGCCCUUGGGAUGAUUUUGCUGCGAUGGCGGUCAUGCGGGGGAUUCCUGCAUUGGAGCUUCCUAUAAACUGUAGCGGGUUUUCUGAAGCUAGUGGAACUUUUUAAAGGCCUCAUAGUGUUACCCUACCUCGCCUCCUCGGUAGAGGUGUAUGGGAUUGGCCGUCUCUUGGCAGAUGGGUAACAUGACUUGUGGGUAAAGAUGCGCAACCUCUGCAGAGUGUAAAACUGGUAUACUAGCCGUGCUCACGGUCAUGAGCAGCUCGGACACUCACAUGAUUAAAUUAUGGAACUUAAACUCAAUUUGUCAUAUGCAUUGCAUCGCAGGUGAGGUUGUUACUUUUGUUCUACUACUUAAUUGGGUUGGUAUUUACUUAUACUUAGUAAUUGCUAAUAAAAUUUUGACCAACUUUAAAAGCAAUGCUCAGCUCUAACCAUCCUCUUUGGUAAGCCUUACACUUCACAUGAACUCCCACCUUUGGCGAGUUCAUGCACAUUAUUCCCCACAACUUGUUGAGCGAUGAACGUAUGUGAGCUCACUCUUGCUGUCUCACACCCCCCACAGGUCAAGAACAGGUACCGCAGGAUGAGGCGCAUGGAGGAUGCUGUGGCGAGUUCGUGAGUGGUCUAGGCCGUCGUCUCCCAGUCAACUUUGGGUUGCUGGACCGUUGUCUCCUUAUAUUGUAAUUAUUUAUUUAAUUAUUUUGUAUAGAACUCCUAUUAUAUAGUAAAGAUGUGACAUUCGAUCAUGUGCCAUGAUUCAUCAUAUGUGUGAGACUUGGUCCCAGCACACCUGGUGAUUAUGUUCGCGCCCGGGUCUUGGUGCCCCUAAAACCCGGGUGUGACAGAAGUGGUAUCAGAGGAAUGUUCACUGUAGGAUGAAACCUAGAUAGAACUGGACAACCUUUAUUUACUUACCUUUGCUACUCUCAUUCUUUUCUAAACUUUUCUUAAUCUUUCCUCAUCUAUUUCCGCUUUACUCUGAUUACUCUUACCUUUUCACUCUAAAGACAAAAGUGGAUUUCACACUUUGAAAUCAUGUACCUAAAGUGACUUUUAGGAAUAGGAAACCUAAUCUUAGGAACAAAAACAAAACUAUUUUUUAUCUAUAUGCUUGAAUGUUUGUCCUUAUGAUACUUGUCUGAUUUGCAUCUUUGAUUGAGUGUGAUGAGUUGUGGAGUAAUGUCCACAAUUACAUCUGCAUAUAUAGACAUAAAUAUAAUAAAAUUCAUAAAAUAACUAGACAAACUAGAUUAUCCCUUAUUAAAGUAUCUAGCCUAACAAUAUCUAUCUCAUCUUAAAAGAUUCUAUCCUACACUCAUAGAUCCAUCUUAUCUUAAAAGGUACUCUAUCUUGAAAAGAUGUUAUCUUAUCCUAAUAGAUCCAACUGACCUCAUAUCAUAACCGAUCUAAUCUAGAUCCCAUCUAAUCUAAUAUUAUCUAAACUAAAGUGAGUUAUUAAUAGGUUAGUAAAUCUGGUGAUAUGGGUUAGACACUGCUUCUACAAACAUAACUUAACCUAAAUUAAUGUAUUAUACCAACUCGUCUGUGAACUACAACAUAACCUACAUCGUAGCCUGACUAGUCCAUUUGUCCCAGAAGCAAAGUAAAAGUCUGUUCAAACCUACCUACCUCGUGUACCCCGGCUAUCUUAACUAUAUGUCCUUAGCCAUAUGUCCUUAACUUGGAUGGCAACUCCAAGAUUAAAGGCCAAAGAAGACCAACCACGUCAAAGGAGGAUAAGCAUCAACUCAAGUCUUCAAAGAUCAAGUUGGAUCGCCAGAGGAAUCAAUAUCCAGAGUUUAGGAAUCGAGAUGAAGUCUUACCUUAUUAUACCCUUGCCACAACCUCUACUUGCCAUAACCGUACCUCAACUGACCUAAUAGAUGGCUAGACAUACAACAUCCAUAUUUUCCAAAUCAUCUACUAACUAUUAUGUAAAAACUUGAACAAAACUUUGAAUUCCAAAACCAAAUGAGAAACUGAAAAAAAUAGACCAAACCUGUUGUGUCCCUUUUCUUACAAAUCUCGGGGACGAGAUUUCUGUUAAGGGGGGUAGGAUUUGUAAAGCCCAAAAUUUGUAUUAAAAUAAUAAUAAUAAUAAUAAUAAUAAUAUAAAUGAGUAAAUACUAUUCUGUAGGGUUUUCGGAUUAUGGAACCCUCGGAGAUCAUUGAUGUCUUUUCUUUGUGCAUACUCAAUUAUGGGAACUAAAGUAGUCAAAUAGCAAAUAAAUAAAUAUAGAAAUAUGCAUUCCAUGCUGAGGUUAUUGUAUUUGUGCAUUUGCGGUUAAAUUAACGAGACAAGUUUAAAUAAAAAAUAAUAAUAAUAGAAUUUAAAAAUGGAGGAAAGAAGAGAGAAGAGGAGGAAAAGAAUAUACAUUAUAAAAAAUAUUAUAAAUAAAUAAUAGGAGUUUUCUUCAUGUUAGGAUUCUUAUUAGAUAUAUUGGAAAGUUGAAGUUCAAACAUGAUUUAAAUUUGAAUUGAAGCUUCAGAUUUGAAAAAAGAAAUAAGAAAAGAAAAUAUAAAAAGAAAGAAAAAGGCUCACCUAAACCUCAUUGGGUCGAUUUCUUCCCCCCGGCCCAACUCCCCCUUUUCCCUUCUCUUCACCGCGCCGACCCAUCUCUGCUUUGUAAGCCCCGCCGGCCCAUCUCCUCAUCCACACUCUAACCCAGACGGCCACUUACAGGUGGGCCCCACCGUCCAGAAGCAUCAUCUCCACCAAACUGGCGUAGCUCAUGGCUCACGACGGGAUUCCCCUGGUCUGCGUCAACAGGGGUUGUUGGGAUUUCAUCCUUCAAAUCCCUAUUAAAUCGGCCGGAUUUUCCUCCCUUGAGACUAUAAAACCGGAUCGCUGGUCGAACCCAGUUGCCCACCGAAUCAGAACAUCGCCGCCUUGCCCAAUGCGUCGUUCGCACGCCGGGUAGGAAAAUUGGGGGCCGUCGUGGCCGCUCCUUGCGGCACCCAACCAUCCUAUGGAAUCUGGUAGCGGUUCUCGAUCCCACGAUCUCGUAGCGACACGCAGAGUAUUAUUACAUAGUUUGUUCUUAUGUUUGGUGUGAUGUUUAUUUUGCCUAUACCAUGUUUGUUUGUAUUGCUACGAUUAGCAGUGAGGUCACGAGUCAUCUGA
rnacentral:lncRNA from 1 species